UACGUAGGGUGCGAGCGUUGUCCGGAAUUACUGGGCGUAAAGAGCUCGUAGGCGGUUUGUCGCGUCUGCUGUGAAAUCCCGAGGCUCAACCUCGGGUCUGCAGUGGGUACGGGCAGACUAGAGUGCGGUAGGGGAGAUUGGAACUCCUGGUGUAGCGGUGGAAUGCGCAGAUAUCAGGAAGAACACCGAUGCGAAGGCGGUCUGCUGGGGUAAUGCUGACACUGAUGCGCGACACGUGGGGAGCAACA
rnacentral:rRNA from 1 species